rnacentral:rRNA from 1 species
UACGGGGGGAGCAAGCGUUGUUCGGAUUUACUGGGCGUAAAGGGCGCGUAGGCGGUCAGCACAAGUCAGUUGUGAAAUCUCCGGGCUUAACUCGGAAAGGUCAACUGAUACUGUGCGACUAGAGUGCGGAAGGGGCAACUGGAAUUCUCGGUGUAGCGGUGAAAUGCGUAGAUAUCAGGAGGAACACCGGUGGCGAAGGCGGCAUCCUGGACCGACACUGACGCUGAGGAGCGAAAGCCAGGGGAGCAAACGGG